CCUACGGGAGGCAGCAGUGAGGAAUAUUGGACAAUGGGCGCAAGCCUGAUCCAGCCAUGCCGCGUGCAGGAAGAAGCAUCUAUGGUGUGUAAACUGCUUUUGUACAGGAAGAAACACUCCCUCGUGAGGGAGCUUGACGGUACUGUAAGAAUAAGGACCGGCUAACUCCGUGCCAGCAGCCGCGGUAAUACGGAGGGUCCGAGCGUUAUCCGGAAUCAUUGGGUUUAAAGGGUCCGUAGGCGGUUUAAUAAGUCAGUGGUGAAAUCUGGUCGCUCAACGAUCAAACGGCCAUUGAUACUGUUAGACUUGAAUUAUAAGGAAGUAACUAGAAUAUGUAGUGUAGCGGUGAAAUGCUUAGAUAUUACAUGGAAUACCAAUUGCGAAGGCAGGUUACUACUUAUGGAUUGACGCUGAUGGACGAAAGCGUGGGGAGCGAACAGGAUUAGAUACCCUGGUAGUCCACGCCGUAAACGAUGGAUACUAGCUGUUCGGAGCAAUCUGAGUGGCUAAGCGAAAGUGAUAAGUAUCCCACCUGGGGAGUACGUUCGCAAGAAUGAAACUCAAAAGUAGUAAGUACGGACGCGAGAGAGACGACGACGGACGACGACGGAGGGAGGAG
rnacentral:rRNA from 1 species